UACCUAGAUGAUGAGCAAAAAGUGUUUGUCAGUCUUAAGGCAAUCUUUUUGGAAAAGGAGUUCUUUGGUGAAGGGACUGUUGCCUCUAAGGUCGAACUUGACGAAGUUCGACAGGUGAAAAAAUCGACACAAGUUGCUGAACCUGAACUGGAUUUGAUUAGAUCAGAUCCGGAGCCCAUUGUUCAAGCACCCUUAAGGCGAUCUGGUAGAGUACCACGUCAACUGGACAGAUACUAUGGUUUCUUGGUCCGGGACGACGAUCCUAUUAAACUUGAUGAAAACGAUGAGGAUCCGAUCACCUACAUGGAUGCAAUGCAGAGAUCCGACUCU
rnacentral:lncRNA from 1 species